rnacentral:lncRNA from 1 species
AUGGAGAUUCUACUUUUGCAACUUUUCUGUGAAUCUAACACUUUUCUAAGUUAGAAACUUAGUAAAAUUAUCAUAUUCAAUGUCUGUCUUCCAGCUCCAUCUUGGUCCACAUUCACCCGAUAAAAGGAAGUUCUGCAGCUGUCGGGAUCCAGAAUGGUGGACUGAACUUUCUCAGGAGAUCACUAAGAAACCAGAUGUCAUUGUCAAAAUCAACCAGAUUCCAGAGAGAUAGGAUUUAAAAAAAAGUAGAAGUCUAAACUGGAAAAACCACCAUGAAGAAAUAACGACAUUUACCUUCAACAGUCUUUAAAAUGGACAUAGCUCAGAGUUGUAUUAUCAUCCAUUUGAUUUAAACCCUACUGUAAGGACCAGCUACAAACCCAUUUGGAUUUCAUUUAGUUUGCCCACAGUUAAUUAGUGUUCUGGUAAGA